GUCUAACAAUACUCUGUGGGGUGCCAUUCCAAACUCUAGUAGAGUGACCGCGCUCCAAUAUUUGUUAGCAAAUAAAGUUGACAAGAAGAAAAAUGAAAUCAAGUGAGUACGUAUUCAAGUUACGGGCUACAUGCCUUCCUUUUUGUGACCAUCAAUGGAGACCAGCCAUCUUAUACAUGUUCAAAGGUGGAGAUAAAGAUGAUGGAGAAAGUGCUCAAGCUCUGUA